AUUCCGGCUCCAAUAGUGUAUAUUAAAGUUGCUGCAGUUAAAAAGCUCGUAGUUGGAUUUUGAAUUAUAAAAAUUUAACAUUCAUCUUUUAGAUGUGAUUUAAUUUUAUAUUCUUCCUUUUGAUACGCUCCAUUAAAUUAUAUUUUUUGGAUUUAAGUGUUUCAAAUUGUUUACUGUGAAAAAAUUAGAGUGUUCAAAGCAGGCGUAACCUAGCCUUUGAAUAUAUUAGCAUGGGAUAAUGAAAUAGGACUUUAAUCCUACUUUCGUUGGUAUCUAGGGCUAAAGUAAUGAUUAAUAGGGAUAGUUGGGGUCACUAGUAUUUAAUUGUCAGAGGUGAAAUUCUAAGAUUUAUUAAAGACUAACUACUGCGAAAGCAUUUGACAAGGAUGUUUUCAUUAAUCAAGAACGAAAGUUGGGGGAUCGAAGAUGAUCAGAUACCGUCGUAGUCUCAACCAUAAGCUAUGCCGACCAAGGAUCCGAGGUUGUUAAUAUGGAUGACUCUUCGGGCACUUAUAGAGAAAUCAUAAGUAUUUGGGCUCCGGGGGGAGUAUGGUCGCAAGGCUGAAACUUAAAGGAAUUGACGGAAGGGCACCACAAGGAGUGGAACCUGCGGUUUAAUUUGACCCAACACGGGAAAACUUACCAGGUCCAGACACAGUGAGGAUUGACAGAUUGAGAGUUCUUUCUUGAUUCUGUGAGUGGUGGUGCAUGGCCGUUUCUAGUUGGUGGAGUGAUUUGUCUGGUUAAUUCCGUUAACGAACGAGACCUUAACCUAUUAAAUAGUUAUUUGAACUUGAUUUUUAAAAUCAAAUGUUUAAAAAACUUCUUAGAGGGACUCUUCACUGAGAGAGUGAAUGGAAGUUUGAGGCAAAAACAGGUCUGUGAUGCCCUUAGAUGUUCUGGGCCACACGCGCGUUACACUGACAUAUUCAACGAGCAUUAUCCUUACCCGUCGGGGUUGGGUAAUCUUUUAAAUGUAUGUCGUGCUGGGAUAGAUCAUUGUAAUUAUUGGUCUUGAACGAGGAAUUCCUAGUAAGUGCGAGUCAUCAACUCGCGCUGAUUACGUCCCUGCCCUUUGUACACACCGCCCGUCGCUCCUACCGAUUGAAUGGUCCGGCGAGAACUCAGGAUGGAUAUGGAUUUUGGACACCGUUAGGUGCUCCAACCAUAUCCAGAAUUUGUUCAA
rnacentral:rRNA from 1 species